UUCAACCGCAUUCCAGAGUAACACAUGACACAACGCAUCCAGUGCAUGGACCGUGUGGUAGCUUCAUUGUAGCCAUGACAUAGUUGUUGACGGCAUAGAUAAAGAUGUUGAUGAGGAUCCUAUUGAGGAGAAUCAUCAAGUGUGUGGAGUGGAAGAGGAGGUCCAUCCAGUCACACCACCACGCGGGGAACACACACACCUCCAUAAUCAUCCUCAGGCUUCUCUAGUUAAUUGAGUCAAACUCCUUCGUUAAGUCCAACUUGAGUACCAAGGUGGGUUGAUCGCUUGUCGCAGCUUUUGAUCAUCUCCUAUGCAUAGACUAUGUUCCGGGAGAUGCUUCGAUAGGCGAUGAGCCCGGAUUGAUCUUUGACAACAAUGCAACCGAUCUGCCUGUGGAGCCUGAAAGAUUUUGUAGCGUGACUAUCCAGAAAGCUUCAGGGGUGGGGCACCGUUGGGUUUGGGAAAUAGGCAGAUGUAUGUCUCUGUUGACCCUGUCCAAAUGCGUGUUGCCGGCAUCCACUUCGUCGAAUAGUUGAUGGAUAUCGUCCGACACCGUAUCCGAGGCUGUGUGACCGAAAGCCAUUCCCGGCCCAUCAGGACCAUCUAUACUUAGUAGGUUGACCACUUCCUUGAUUUUGGCUCGAUUGAAAGGGGCCACCAAACCGGCCCAUCAACCCGAGUCAUCUGG
rnacentral:lncRNA from 1 species